GGGGAAUAUUGGACAAUGGGCGCAAGCCUGAUCCAGCCAUGCCGCGUGAGUGAUGAAGGCCUUCGGGUUGUAAAGCUCUUUUGGCGGGGACGAUGAUGACGGUACCCGCAGAAUAAGCCCCGGCUAACUUCGUGCCAGCAGCCGCGGUAAGACGAAGGGGGCAAGCGUUGUUCGGAAUUACUGGGCGUAAAGGGCGCGUAGGUGGUUAAUUAAGUCAGAUGUGAAAUCCCCGGGCUUAACCUGGGAAUUGCAUUUGAAACUGAUUGGCUAGAGUACGGGAGAGGGAAGUGGAAUUUCCGGUGUAGCGGUGAAAUGCGUAGAUAUCGGAAGGAACACCAGUGGCGAAGGCGACUUCCUGGCCCGUUACUGACACUGAGGCGCGAAAGCGUGGGGAGCGAACA
rnacentral:rRNA from 1 species